UACGUGGACGACACGCAGUUCGUGCGGUUC
rnacentral:piRNA from 2 species